rnacentral:misc_RNA from 1 species
CAGCAGGCAACUGCAAUUCUUACGAUUCUUGCUACAAGUUCUAGUGUUGAAAGAGGAUUGAUCUAGCAACAAAAUGAAAAUUCUGAUUUUGGAAUAAAAGCGCCAACUGUUGCAGUACAAAAUUGAGAGCAUUAGUCCAAGAAAGCGAGGAUCUUUUGUCCAUUACCCAACUUGCUGAAAUUGUUGAAAAUAGUCAUGGAUUACAGAAAUUUACCUUAAUCAAACAUGUCAUAUGCAAAAUUUUUCCUUUUGUUAAAGAGUUGGUUCUUGAUGGUACCAUAGUAUUUUGUGGCUUUCAAAGAUUCUCGUGUUGUGAAGAUUAACUUUCUAAGAAGAAAAUUAAACUCAAAGAGAUGGUAGUUAAGAUGUGGUGGAGGCAGAGGAAAAGUUUCAGGCAAUAAGAAUUCUGUGCUUACAAGGUGUUUGUGGAAAUGUAGAGAAGAGAGAAUGGUCUAUCAAAGCAAGUUCAGUCCAAAAGACGAGCCUUCAAUUUGGGAAAACCAGUCUAUCAAGCUCAAAUUCCUGAAUUCUUCCUUGGGGACAAGGAAGAUCUCCAGAGGGGGUAACGUUAAGG